rnacentral:rRNA from 1 species
ACUCCUACGGGAGGCAGCAGUGGGAAUAUUGCACAAUGGGGAAGCCAUCGAUGCAGCCAUGCCGCGCUGUGUGAAGAAGGCCAAUUCGGGCUUGGUUAAAGACACUUUCAGUAGGGAGGAAGGUAGUGUAGUUAACACCUGCAUUAUUUGACGUUAGCGACAGAAGAAGCACCGGCUAACUCCGUGCCAGCAGCCGCGGUAAUACGUAGGUCCCGAGCGUUAUCCGGAAUUAUUGGGCGUAAAGGGCACGUAGGCGGUACAAUAAGUUUGAUGUCAAAUACAACGGCCCAACCGUUGAAAGGCGUUGAAAACUGUUGAACUAGAAUCUUGGAGAGGUAAGUGGAAUUUCAUGUGUAGCGGUGGAAUGCGUAGAUAUAUGAAGGAACACCAAUGGCGAAGGCAGCUUACUGGACAAAGAUUGACGCUGAGGUGCGAAAGCGUGGGUAGCAAACAGGAUUAGAUACCCUGGUAGGUGA